GGGCAGUAAUCCAGUCUCAGAUUUUUGUUUUGGUUAUAUUGUAUACAGCUGAUUGUAUUUUAAUACUAUUUACAAAUACUUCUUAUAUGUCAAAAGAAAAAAAAAAUUGCUGUACCUGAUAUUGUGAUUUAUAUUGAAAUUGAUAAAGACAACAAACUCAAUAAUGAGCUAUUCCAAUAUCAAUCUCCCUAGGGAAAAAAUGGGGUGCUACCUAAUUUUAGACCUCCAUAGUGCCCAUAGACACAUCAAACACUUGCCAAAAUAUAAGCCUGAACCCCUGAGGGGAUCACACAUUAAAUUAUAAAAGUUGUAUAUAUUCUACACCGUGAAUAAGACCAAACA
rnacentral:lncRNA from 1 species